rnacentral:lncRNA from 1 species
ACUUCCUCUCGCGUCUCUUUCGAUCUUCAAAAACAUAAAACCCAAACAUAUCAUCAGGUAUAACAAAACCUAAACCACCAUCUCUAACUACCACAAACCACUAACUUCUCUCUUCCUCCAUCUUUGUCUAUCUAAAAAAGAAAAAUUCAUGACACCACCAUCAUGAUCUUACCUCUAUUGUCGAUACAGUGAGUACUCCGGUAGAAGAACACUUGAUAUUUUCUACCUUUUAUGAAAAUUUUCUACUAAAUUGUUUUUUUGUAAUGUAUUUCCUAAUCUAUGUGCUCUUCCCUCACUCUUUGAUAAUCUCUAAGAAAGACUUUAACUGUGUGUGUAUGUGUGUGUUUACAGUUGUUAAAGUGAGAAGCUAUUGAAAUAGCAGACCCCCAAGAUGAAGUCGGAUGAAAAUGCAUGGCUAAAGAUCUGUUUUUCUCUUUCUCUGAUCUUUUAUUUUCUUCAAUUUCUUUACAUUUUACAUUUUGUUUUUGUAUUUAUAAGUUAGAUCAUAAUAUCAGUGCAAUAAGAUGUGAAUACCAAGAACAUUGAUGUUGCAUAGCUAUGUUGGUAUUCUUAGAGUUUUAUCCAGCAAAUGAAGGGUGGAAGAACAAACACCUAACAAGAAGGUUGAUUACUUUCUUUGAUUUUGUUCCAUAUUCUUCUGGCUCUUAUUAUGAAAAUAACUUUGUAAAACGAAAUGAAGUUGAAGUUGUUUUUUUUGUUCCUUUUGUGAUUAAUAUGGUUAAUUACUUACUGUGAUUUUAUUGGUUUUGCAUUACUUCUUGAAGUUCCAAUUCCCCAUUAUCUUUUGUAUUUCUUAUUUUGAUUUAUUUGUUCUUGGGAGGAUUUUGUAAAAUUUUAAAGCUUUGUGGGUAUUUGAAUGCAGGGUCUGUAAAGAGGAAGAUGAAGAAAUGAACAAGAUAGGGGCAAAAAGGUCAUUUAUGGUGUUUUAAUAAAAAACAUAUGGCUAUGGAUUGAUAAACAUGGGUUUAUAUUUUCUUUUCCAUUAAUUACAGUCAAUUAAAGUAUACCCAUCAGCACACAUUUUGACCAUACCGUAUCUCUCACUUAUAUCCUCAUUGCUCUUUUUGUUUGAUCUGAGCAUAUUUGAUUUGUGCAUAUUGUGUGUCUGUGUGUUUUGGCUAAAUAACAGAGGCAAAUGAAAUACAUUUACAAACCCUGAUGUAUUCUUAAUACAGGCAAAAUGAUGUUUUUUUUUCAUAAGCAACACAUAAAAGUAACCUAACGUUUAAGUUCCAGAUUCAAGAUCUCCUCUCCUGAGUCCUUGGGGGCAUCAACUGUUUGUGUCAAUUAUGUUUUCAGAAUUCUCGAUCCUUUUUGCAUCCAUUUUCAUUCUAUCGUGUUCAAAACUGCAUAACAUUUGUAGGUUUGUAGUAUAAAGAGAAUCUAUGUGAAGUACCACAAUGUGUACAAGACAAAUGCAAUGAAGGUGGUGAGGUUUGAUUGCAUUAAAAAUCGUGCUAAGAAACAUGAUGCAAGAAAUUGCAAUCCGAAAGCUCUUGAUGAACUUCAAUGGGAUCUUCAUCAUAUUGUUGGUGGACUUCAGUUGGAUCUUCAUCAUGUUGUUGGUGGACUCAUGGACAAUUUCUAAAGUCAUCUAUUCAAUACCAAGGUACAUCUAUUUAAGAAAUAGCUAUGCAUUAAUGGGUUGAACGUAAGAUGUCAUCAAUUAUUUUGAAAAAGGACAUUCCCUUUACUGCUAAUUCCAAAAUAUAACGAACAUAUUUUUGUAUGUUUAUUUAUUAUAAACAUCUACUCUAAUUUUAUAUACUCCAACAAUAUAUUUUAUAUAUUUUUAUGUUAUGUUAUUGUAUUUUAUAUGGUGGUUUCAAAUUGAUAAUGUUUCAUUAAAGGACCCUACUGCUGCACUUUAUCAAAUGUUCCAAAUCAAAAUAUCAGUGGUUCUUCACUUCCUAACUAAGUGGUUGCAGCUUCAAUCUAUCAAAUGCUCACGUUAUGUAAUGUUACCGCUUUUCACCAAGUGUUCCUAUUAAUUUAAAAUGUUACAAACUAUGUCCGUAUUUAAUGAGAAGAUGGUUCUCUAAAUCAAGUGUAAAGAACAUUUAGACUAUCUGGUGAUUUAUAGCUUACUUGGUUGAAAGUUUUUUUUGUUUUUAAAAGGUGUUGUUAUGUUGCUAUCAACAAUUACCCUCUCACAACAUGACUAAAUGUAUAUUUUACUUGAUAUUUAAAUCUUAUUUAUUUAAAGUUAUUUAAUUAUAACGUAAUAAAUGAUAUUCAAAUGUGUUUAAGCAUCAUGCUUAAUAAUGUGUGUAUGAUAAUGUAUCUUAUA